CCUACGGGUGGCAGCAGUGGGGAAUAUUGGGCAAUGGGCGCAAGUCUGACCCAGCAACGCCGCGUGAAGGAAGAAGGCCCUCGGGUUGUAAACUUCUUUUAUUCGGGACGAAACAAAUGACGGUACCGAAUGAAUAAGCCACGGCUAACUACGUGCCAGCAGCCGCGGUAAUACGUAGGUGGCAAGCGUUAUCCGGAUUUACUGGGUGUAAAGGGCGUGUAGGCGGGAGAGCAAGUCAGACGUGAAAUUCCAGGGCUCAACCCUGGAACUGCGUUUGAAACUGUUCUUCUUGAGUGAUGGAGAGGCAGGCGGAAUUCCGUGUGUAGCGGUGAAAUGCGUAGAUAUACGGAGGAACACCAGUGGCGAAGGCAGCAUACCGGCGCCCAACUGACGCUGAAGCACGAAAGCGUGGGUAUCGAACAGGAUUAGAUACCCUGGUAGUC
rnacentral:rRNA from 1 species